rnacentral:rRNA from 1 species
CAUGAUUAGAUACCCUGGUAGUCCACGCCGUAAACGAUGUCGAUUUGGUUGUUGUGCCCUUGAGGCUUGGCUUCCGGAGAUAAGGCGUUAUAUCGACCGCCUGGGGAGUACGGCCGCAAGGUUAAAUCUCAUAUGAAUUGACGGGGGCCCGCACAAGCGGUGGUGCAUGUGGUUUAAUUCGAUGCACCGCGAAGAACCUUACCUGGUCUUGACAUCCUCAGAACUUUCC